GCAGCCAUCAUUUAAAGAAAGCGUAAUAGCUCACUGGUCGAGUCGGCCUGCGCGGAAGAUGUAACGGGGCUAAACCAUGCACCGAAGCUGCGGCAGCGACACUGUGUGUUGUUGGGUAGGGGAGCGUUCUGUAAGCCUGUGAAGGUGUGUCGUGAGGCAUGCUGGAGGUAUCAGAAGUGCGAAUGCUGACAUAAGUAACGAUAAAGCGGGUGAAAAGCCCGCUCGCCGGAAGACCAAGGGUUCCUGUCCAACGUUAAUCGGGGCAGGGUGAGUCGACCCCUAAGGCGAGGCCGAAAGGCGUAGUCGAUGGGAAACGGGUUAAUAUUCCCGUACUUGGUGUUACUGCGAAGGGGGGACGGAGAAGGCUAUGUUGGCCGGGCGACGGUUGUCCCGGUUUAAGCGUGUAGGUGUGUGUUCCAGGUAAAUCCGGUUCACUUUAACACUGAGGCGUGACGACGAGGCACUACGGUGCUGAAGCAACAAAUGCCCUGCUUCCAGGAAAAGCCUCUAAGCAUCAGGUAACACGAAAUCGUACCCCAAACCGACACAGGUG
rnacentral:rRNA from 1 species